GUAAGUCCAGCCCGAGGCUAAGGUGAGAGCGUCUGCCGGGACAGUGUGGCUGGACCCACGUGGCAGGGUGGAUCGGGCGGAGGCCGUCAAGCUAGCCGGAAGGGGCUGUGCUGUCAACCAGCGAGCGCAGGAGGUGUUAACCACCGAAGGGAGGUAGAAUGUUUUUCCCCACCAGAGGAGGCAGCGACCACGUCUCCUCUAUGGAGGCAUUCAAGAGCCGUCCAGCUGAAGCAGCAUCACUGUCUGAGCUCGGAAGGCACAAUCCACAUAGGUCUGCAUGGUCCACCGAGCUGCAUACCCACGGGGCCAGCGGGAGGUGGGCAGCUGCUGGGCUCUCUUCUGAAGCAGACAGGAUCUCACUCUGUUGCUGAGGCUGGAUCACAGCUCCCUGCAACCUUGAACUCUCCCUCAAGCAAUUCUCCCCACUCUGCCUUCCAAAGCACUAGCAUUAUAGGCCUAAGCCACCACUCCCAUCCACUGUAGUGUAAACUGUCUCCUUCAAUGUUUCCAAUAGUUGCGGAGCAGAUCAGAUAAGGGUUCUUCCUGUCUGUUGCUUCAAGUUUCAUUCUCUCUUUAAACAAUACAAGGUUGGCUUCCAUGGUUCCUUCUUAAAGAAUGUUGAAGGUGUGUCUUCAGAUUCAUUUAGUGUUCGUGGAACCCCAGGGAAAGCUGAUGUAAAAACCUCUUUUUUCUCCCAUAUGUCUCAAAAAGUUGUAUUUUCUGGGUCCAAGGGAUCUGCAAGCCUCCUAAAGGCAUUUCCAUUGUCACUACCACCAGGUGUGAACUGUAAUCUGGCACGUAUAGUUCCAAGAACUGUCAUAAUAGAUGCUGAAGAAACAUUGUGAAGUUAACUCGCUGUUACCAACUGUGAAGUCAUUAGCUAGAGGAAUCUUGGGCGGUCUGAAAUCUGAGAUACUGUGGAAAGAACAGAAAGAUCCUGUAUCUUUCCUAUAAUUGUUCUACUGGAAGUUGUCAUUUUACACAGGAGACAUUCUGUUUUAUUUAUUUUCUUUUGAGACAGGGUCUCACUCUGUCGCCCAGGCUGGAGUGCAGUGUUGUUACCACAGGUCACUGGUGCCUCCACUGCCUGAGGACUGCUCAAGCAAUCCUCCUGCCUCAGUCCCCUGAGGAGCUGGGGCCACAGGCCUGCACCACCAUGCCUGGCUAAUUAUUUUUAUUUGUAGAGACAAAGUCUAUCUUGCCUAGGCUGAUCUCGAACUCCUGGGCUCAAGUAAUCCUCCCGCGGUGGCUUCUCAAAGUGCUUGGGAUUACAG
rnacentral:lncRNA from 1 species